rnacentral:lncRNA from 10 species
GUACCGUAGAUGAAAAACCUAACAAAGCCAUUUUCCAGGCACGUUUCCAAGUAGAGCUCUACAUGUGGCCUGGUCCCAUCAAGUCUUGUGUGAGUUGAAUGUGAAAGUGAGCAACAAAGGCAGCUGGCAGUCACAAGGACAAGUAUUUCCAGAUGGGCAGGUGUGGUGGCAGAGGCCCCUGGUUCUUCUGGAAUAGCUGUGGCAGUUUCUAGCCUCCCCUGCCUAGCAUCAGGAAUCUACUGAUAAGCCACGGUGACUGUGGUUUCCACUGGACUUCUCUGCUGGCUGCAUUGCUGCUGGUUUUAUAUCUCGGCCUAGUUCCCUGAAGUUCCUAUCAAAGCAAGGAGAGGAGGAGCAAGAUGGCAAAAUAGAUGGCUCCACUGAUCUCCACCUGCCAACAAGGACAUCAAUAUAACAGCUAUCUACACAGAAAAAAGCACCUUCAUAUAAGCAAAAUGCAGGUAUUAAAUUAUGAAAUAUAUAUAUGUCUUCAAAUCAAUUAAAUAUAAAAGAAGACAUACAUAUGGCCAGUGGGAAUAUAAAAAAUGCUCAACAUCACUAAACAUCAGGGAAAUGCCAAUUAAAACCACAAUGAGAUAUCACCUCACAUCUGUUAAAACGGCUGUUGUCUAAAAGACAAAAGAUAUAUAUUCAAAGGAAACGAAGUCAGCAUGUCAAAGAGAUAUCUGCACUCCCAUGUUCAUUGCAAGCACUAUUUACAAUAACCAAAAUAUGGAAUCAACCUAAGUGUCCAUCAAUGUAUGAACAGAUGAAGAAAAUGUGCUCUAUAUAUACAAUGGAAUACUACUCAGCUAUUAAACAGUAAGGAAAUCCUGCCAUUUGAACGACAUGAACGAACUUGGAGGACAUUAGGCACAGAGAGACAAACACUGCAUGAUUUCACUUAUAUAUGGAACCAAAAAGUUGAACUUUAGCAGAGAGUGAAAUGCAUUUCAGAUCUGGUUACUGUGAGCCAUUCACUCAUUUAACAACUACUCAUUGAAUAGUGACUGGUUUGUUGAGUGCCUACAAUGUUCCAGCUGUUAUUCUAAGAUAUCCAAGGAAGUGUGGUUGUCCUGAGAAGUCAACAGCGGCAACAGUCUCUUUGGAGACAGGAACGAACAUGAGACCAAGAUAUGUUCAAGGUAAAAUUUGUUGUCUACUUUUAUAGACUAUUUUUUUUCCACACAACGAAGUAAAUGAACACCAGAAGCACUGAAUUCAUGACAUAGUAGUUUUACCAUUGGGAGAGAAAACAGAGCUGCUCUCUUCUAUUUGCCACAGCCUGCAAAAAUGCCAAUGAUUGUGCAGCGUAUGAGAUUUUAUCCACCUUACAACUAACAAGUUUGCCUGCUGCAGUUUCAUGGAUGUUGGCAGAAGGAACUACACUGCUGGGUCAGAGACAAAGGACUCCAUUUCUAAUGAUCCAGCAGCAGUCGUGAGCUUCAUGUUCACAUCAGUUCCCCUUAGUCUCCAGGUGCCAUGAGGUCCAUGCAGAGCAGCCCAAGUGGAUGUUGCACACACAGUGGGCAUCUGUCAUAGCUGAGGAUCUCUGAUCUUAGGAAACCCUCAUCUUACAAAGAAGCUGCUGUCAAACCUGUCUAAACUUUUUCUCAAAGGAAGACAUCAUCUUUAUUAUUCAAGUCAAGAAACAAAUCUGCCCUCCAACCCAGAAGGAGAUACUAUCUCUAGCUUCCAAGGCUUUUUGCUGUGCAGGUAUCAUUGAAAACACAGUCUAGGAUAAAAACUGUCACAAGCUGCGUAGAAACUCCAUGGAGGGAUUGGCUUCCAACAAAAAAUUCCAGGGAAGGAAUCAAAAUUGAUGUAUUUGAGGUCAAGUGCCUGUCCUCUAUCAAGCACUUUGUCCAAGGAGAUGGGAUAGUAUUACGAACACUGCAAAAGUCAAUUUCCCAUCCACACAUGGGUUAAGGUCAGACACCAAGACAUUAGGAGAGGAAUGUGCUUGACAAAGAUUAAUCACAUUUAUUAUGAUUCAGUAUUAGAAGGGAUAAGAUGGGGCCAGAUCAUAAAGAAUUAUGUAGGUUAUGUUAAUUAGUUUGGAUUUUUUCCUAUGAGCAAUAGCAAUUUGUUAAAUUUUAUAAUGGGGUAGGUGUGGUAUCCUUAGAAAAAUCACACUGGUACAGAUUUUAGGGAUUGGCAGUAGAGAGUAAAUGAAGAAAUGAGUUAGAGAACAGUUAUAUUAGUCCAUGUGAAAGGUAACAGGGGUCUGAACCAGAAUAGUGAGUAUGGAGAGAAGUGGGCAAAUCUGAGGAUAUUUUUGGUAGCAGUCAAAAGGAGAGAAGACAGAAUCAAGGACAAACAACAUGUUUUUGUUUUGGGAAACGUCAUGAGUUGAGACAGAAAGCCUAGAAAGAGAAGCAGGUUUUAACAAGGUAAAUUCAGUUUUGAAACUUACAUAUUUUACAUAGGAUGGGACACAGAAAGCUAGGCUAAGGAAAUGGAUUCAAGACAUUUGUAUAACACAUAGAUGGGAAGAGGAUUGAACAGAAAAAAUACCUCUAGUACAAAACCUGAGGAACACUAAUAUUGAAAGAGCAGGCAUAAGAAGAACCUGUAAAAAAAGAUAAUGUAGUCAGUAUGCUAGGAAAAAACUAGGAGAAAACAGUAAAACAGAAACCACAGAAGGUGAUUGAGAAAUAGAAUUAACUCACUCUUUUUAAUGGCUGUGUAAGAUGACAUAGUAUAGAUGUACUACAAUGUAAUAGAACUAAAAACAAAACUAAGCAUUAAAAGAAGUUAAAUGUUAAGUGCUUUGGAAGACAAGGUUCUUCAGUUGUGAGAAGCGGAUUCCAUCAACCUUACAGGAAUACUGUGGGGAUUGAAGUGGAUCCUAUUCACAUACUUCUUACACUAUGAGGGCAUUCAAUACACGUCAAGUUUUCCUUUGUAAAAUUAAGUCACUGGCACAUGUGGCUAAGAUUAUGCUUUUACUCCUAGAACUCUUCCCAAUCACUCUUGCAAAUAACCAGUCAUUGCAUGUGUACUAGUUUUGUUGUGCCCCGUUAUACUCAUUGCCAAUAAACGUGCCUUCCUCCCACAACCCCCACCCCCCACCCCGACUAUACUCUUGGUACCAAAUCCUUUGAUUUAUUGGUUGCACCAAAGUCACAGACUGGCAGAAUAAAUACUGGUGACAUUUUAUUUCUUGUCACCUCAUUAACGUAGAUCAGCUCAGGCUGAUUAGUUCUCCUCUACACAUUAGUUAGAAUGGCUCUGUAACUUGGUGCUAUACAGAGAGUAGAAUGGUUUGUGAUUGUUGCUUUCCUAAGGGGAUUUAAAGUUUUUCAUUUAUUUUUUGUGUGUGCAUGCACAUGACACUCUCAUACAUUCUGCCCCAUUUCUUUUUUCUUCCCUCAGAGCUAGCUCAAAUAAAAUAAACAUCUUUAGCUCUUUCUUUAGAAAAAGAAGGGAAAAUCACAUGCCAAUCCAAGUAGAGAAAGAUACAGAAAACAGAAGCAGGUGGGAAAAGGCACUUUAUAAUUCAUUAAUUUAUAUUGGUAUCUCUUAAAAUUUUUCUUUUUAUGAAAAAGAAGUGAAGAAUGUUAGAAGGUCAUAAACUAAUAAGAGACCACAUAGUUUAAAAGAUUUGCC